rnacentral:rRNA from 1 species
GACGAACGCUGGCGGCGUGCUUAACACAUGCAAGUCGAACGGAAAGGCCCUGCUUUUGUGGUGUGCUCGAGUGGCGAACGGGUGAGUAACACGUGAGUAACCUGCCCUUGACUUUGGUAUAACUUCAGGAAACUGGGGCUAAUACCGGAUAGGAGCUCCUGCUGCAUGGUGGGGGUUGGAAAGUUUCGGCGGUUGGGGAUGGACUCGCGGUUUAUCAGCUUGUUGGUGGGGUAGUGGCUUACCAAGGCUUUGACGGGUAGCCGGCCUGAGAGGGUGACCGGCAACAUUGGGACUGAGAUACGGCCAAGACUCCUACGGGAGGAAGAAGGGGGGAAUAUUGCAAAAUGGGCGGAAGCCGGAUGCAGCAACGCCGCGUGCGGGAUGACGGCCUUCGGGUUGUAAACCGCUUUCGCCUGUGACGAAGCGUGAGUGACGGUAAUGGGUAAAGAAGCACCGGCUAACUACGUG